rnacentral:misc_RNA from 1 species
AUAUGUGCCAUCUCCACAGCAUAUGUGAGUUGUUCUUUUACUGCCUGCCAACUUACAGUUUUCGUAAGGAUAUAUUACUUACAUCUUGGCCUUACCAGGCUUACCUAAAGUAUUUGUAUAUAUAUAUAUAAAAAAAUAGCUAAUCACAAAAGUGAGUGAAAACAACUUAUAGAACCUUGCAAAAAUAUUCAUAGAGAUUCUAGACUCCCAGUUUCAUUGAAUGUAGCCUGAAAGAAAUUGAUAAAAGUAAUCUGAGUUUUAAUAUGAAAAGAAAAGACAUUAAGAUCCAUUCUGGUUUAUUUCCUGAAAAUGAUGAUAUUUGAAUUUUUAUUGCUAAUUUUGCCAAGGACAUCUUGAUUCUUAGUUGGGAUUUGAAAUUGUAGUGCUAGGUUUUUAUAAAGUCCUAGGUUAAUGCUGCACAGGGAAAACACAGUAAUUUUAGUUAACACAAAG